CCCACAUGGGUGUCCAACCACUCCCUCUCUCCCUUGGGUAGCAGCCCAUCUGCUCCCUCUCUCUCCUUCACUCCCCCAUGCUCUCUCCAACUAGCCAAGGAAAGGGAGCAGCUCCCCUCUCCCUCCCCUCAAGCUCUCUCCCUCUCUCUCUCUUUCUCUAAUCCGCCAUCUAGAAGCCAAAUCGAGAUAUGCAUAUGCACGAGGAGUAUCGGCGUUCUUCCUCUUUCCGAGUUUUUCAACCUUCCACUGAUGGCCACCAACAUCGAAAAAGCAUCUUGGUGAACAAAGAACCGGAGCGUGAUGCGAGCGUGGACGAAGGCGACGCCAAUCUACUAGAAUUCUGUAAGUGCUGCAUGGGUAGUAUUAUGCAGUCACCAGAGUAACAAGACAAGUAUCUAAGCAUACUUUACCUACUACUUUAGAUUAUAUGUGUCUAAAUGGAUAAAUUAUGCUCUAUGUAUGUUAUGCAGGUUGAGUUAGUUGAUGUCGAGAAAUCGGGUAGCACAUAAUUGUUGUAUUAUCUCUAUCUUGUAUUGCUGAUCUCCUUCCUUGUAGCCUAAGUAUAAUCAUAAGAAUAU